CAAUAGCGUAUAUUAACGUUGUUGCAGUUAAAAAGCUCGUAGUUGGAUUUCUGGAGGGAGCGUCGGCCCGUAUUUACGAGUGCGUGACGUCUCUGUCCAUCCUUGCGGGAAGGCACGGCAUUGAUUUGUUGUGUCGGAUCGCAUCAUUUACUGUGAAAAAAUUAGAGUGUUCAAAGCAGGCUUUCGCUUGAAUACAUUAGCAUGGAAUAAUAAGAUAGGACUUUGGUGCUAUUUUGUUGGUUGAGCCUAAAGUAAUGAUUAAUAGGGAUAGUUGGGGGCACCUGUAUUGCGUUGUCAGAGGUGAAAUUCUUGGAUUUACGCAAGACAAACAGCUGCGAAAGCGUCUGCCAAGGAUGUUUUCAUCAA
rnacentral:rRNA from 1 species